rnacentral:rRNA from 1 species
UUGAGAUGGGGAUAAACCCGGGAAACUGGGUAUAAUACCCGAUAGAUCUCGACUGCUGGAAUGCAUCGAGAUCCAAAGCUCCGGCGCUCAAGGAUGGGUCUGCGGCCUAUCAGGUAGUAGUGGGUGUAGCGUACCUACUAGCCUACGACGGGUACGGGUUGUGAGAGCAAGAGCCCGGAGAUGGAUUCUGAGACACGAAUCCAGGCCCUACGGGGUGCAGCAGGCGCGAAAACUUUACAAUGCUGGAAACAGCGAUAAGGGGACCUCGAGUGCCAGGUUACAAAUCUGGCUGUCGUGAUGCCUAAAAAGCAUUGCAUAGCAAGGGCCGGGCAAGACCGGUGCCAGCCGCCGCGGUAACACCGGCGGCUCGAGUGGUAACCGUUAUUAUUGGGUCUAAAGGGUCUGUAGCCGGCCGGAUAAGUCUCUUGGGAAAUCUGGCAGCUUAACUGUCAGGCUUUCAGGAGAUACUGUCUGGCUCGAGGCCGGGAGAGGUGAGAGGUACUUCAGGGGUAGGGGUGAAAUUUUGUAAUCCUUGAAGGACCACCAGUGGCGAAGGCGUCUCACCAGAACGGACCUGACGGCAAGGGACGAAAGCUAGGGGCACGAACCGGAUUAGAUACCCGGGUAGUCCUAGCCGUAAACGAUACUCGCUAGGUGUCGGCCACGGUGCGACCGUUGUCGGUGCCGUAGGGAAGCCGUGAAGCGAG